ACGAGUUAGGGUCUUCUAGGCCCGACCUCCCAACCCUGUGUUUAAUCGACCUGAUGUUGCUUCGGCGAGCCCGUCUCACAAGGACCGCCGGAGGACCGUAACACGUCCUCUGGUCCGCGCUCGCCGGUGGCCAACCACAAAUUCUUCAUUAAAUGUAUCAUCUAAGUCAAAAUUUUAAUUAAAGCA
rnacentral:misc_RNA from 1 species